GCUGUUGUAAAUCCAGCAGCCGGGUUUGGUCACCCGCAAUCAUCAAGGCGCAUCAGCGCCGCUCAGCGAAUCAGUCGGCGUUUUU
rnacentral:sRNA from 1 species